UCCGGCUUAUCACCGGCAGUUUCCUCAGAGUUCUCAGCAUUACCUGUUAGCAACAGAGGACGAGGGUUGCGCUCGUUGCGGGACUUAACCCAACAUCUCACGACACGAGCUGACGACAGCCAUGCAGCACCUGUGCUCCCCCCACCCGAAGUGAAGGACUGCCUUUCAGCAAUCCAAAGGGGGCAUGUCGAAUCCUGGUAAGGUUCUUCGCGUUGCCUCGAAUUAAACCACAUGUUCCACCGCUUGUGCGGGUCCCCGUCAAUUCCUUUGAGUUUUAAUCUUGCGACCGUACUCCCCAGGCGGGAUGCUUAACGCGUUAGCUACGCCACUCAAGGGGAACCCCCGAACGGCUAGCAUCCAUCGUUUACAGCGCGGACUAC
rnacentral:misc_RNA from 1 species